CUCAUCUCCGUCAAACUCCACACAGUCCCGCCACCGUCAAAAUUACUCCGCAAAUGAAUUAUAUGGGCGGUUUGAAUAGCCCAUCAAGAGAAAUUUAAAUGAAUAAAAUGUGCUACUAUCAAAUAAACGGGACCUUAUAUCUGAAAUUUCUUUUCCGAAUUUUGAUCGAAAAAAAUCACUUCUUACAUUCGACAGUACAACGAGAUCAUAAUUGUGCCAAAAAUAUUCGUAUUUCUCAAGACAUUGUCUAUGCUUUCCGUACGCUACGAUUGUUUAUAUUGAUUAUAAACUGUGGCACGUAUAACGUCGGUCUAAAACGUUAAAGGCGAAAAAAAAGAAUUAUCAGUGCAUUCAAUUUUGUGGCGCGUUAUUCAAAAUCUGAUUCACGGCGAAGACGUCGAAUAGAGCUCUAUUCAAACCAAAUAUAUCAACAUACAACAGAAAGCAGUCGGUACUCGUGCGUAUCUCUUUGUUGUUUACGGUGUGUGGAAGAAAUCGAAUUUCGUUCUAUUUUGUAGAAGAUGACGUUGUUUACUGUGUUUAUUCUAUACAUUGCUGUCAUCCGUUUUUGGUUGGCGUUCUAUCAGUUUACUUACGCACAGAUGGUGGGAUGGAGGGUGAUCUGACAAAUCCUCUUUUAAGACCUGCUCAACGAGCUUGCAACGUGUAUUCAAACUUACCAGUAUCAUGAAUUAUGGGCGGCGAAGCGGCCGGAGAAGAACAAUUCCGAUGGAUAUCCAAUUUGUGCGGCUCUGGGCUACAUACAAACAAAAGGCAAUGGAAUCGAUUUUCGCGGUGGUGGUACGAUAAUAUCGCAGAACUUUAUACUAACAGCGACAGGGUGUAUAAAUCCAUCACAUCCCCCUGUUUUGGUUCGAUUGGGUCAACUAUCACUGACUGACAACCUUGUCGAUGGAUAUGACGAUAUAAAUUACCAAGUGAAGUGAUAUUGAUGAUCCAAUGGUAAAAGGUCCCAGUGAUAUUGGCGUUUAUUGUACAUAUGAUCGGGAAGGAAGACAAGACAGUUGCUUUUGAGACAAUGGAGGCCCACUCCAGUACUUUCCAACUAAUCAAUCGGCAACAGCAACCGUUGUUGGCAUUGUACCGUUUUAUUAUAAAUGCGGUGUUCCUUUACCCGGAAUUCACAUCCGAGUUGCUUAUUACUUGAAUUGGAUUGAACCCAUUGUUUGGCCUUCGAGGCCCGCAUACAAAGCUUGCACCAAGUACUCAAAUCUCCCCAUAGAAUGAAAUUUCCUGAAAUCACGAAUCUUAAACGGUGAAGAGGCGGCACCGGGGGAGUUCCCUUCGAUGGUAAUAUAGGUGAUGACGAGGGUUCCUAGGGGUCGGAUGACCCCCCUAAAAUAUUUCUAGGGAUUUUCACCUCAAAAAGUGACUUCCAAAAAAAAAACGAUUUUUGUGUCAUUUUUGGAUUUGCAAGGCAAUUUGAAGUAGGAAAAUUCUUUUGAUUUGCUAGGGAUUUUCGCCAAAAAAGUGACUUCCAAAAAAAAAAACGAUUUUAUCCUUAUUUCGUACAAAAUGUUAACAUCGUCAGGGAUCCCCCAUGGAUUUUUUCAGGAACCCCCUACAGAAUUUUUACGUCAUCAUCUAUGGUGGCUUUAGCAUACAUUCGUAGUAACAAAGUGGUUUAUGACUGCGGCGGAACAAUUAUAUCGGAAUAUUUUGUUAUGACCGC